GUGGGGAAUUUUGGACAAUGGGCGCAAGCCUGAUCCAGCCAUUCCGCGUGCAGGAUGAAGGCCUUCGGGUUGUAAACUGCUUUUGUACGGAACGAAAAGCCUCUGGUUAAUACCCGGGGGUCAUGACGGUACCGUAAGAAUAAGCACCGGCUAACUACGUGCCAGCAGCCGCGGUAAUACGUAGGGUGCAAGCGUUAAUCGGAAUUACUGGGCGUAAAGCGUGCGCAGGCGGUUAUAUAAGACAGAUGUGAAAUCCCCGGGCUCAACCUGGGAACUGCAUUUGUGACUGUAUAGCUAGAGUACGGCAGAGGGGGAUGGAAUUCCGCGUGUAGCAGUGAAAUGCGUAGAUAUGCGGAGGAACACCGAUGGCGAAGGCAAUCCCCUGGGCCUGUACUGACGCUCAUGCACGAAAGCGUGGGGAGCAAACAGGAUUAGAUACCCUUGUAGUCC
rnacentral:rRNA from 1 species